GAUUAACGCUGGCGGCGUGCUUAACACAUGCAAGUCGAACGAUGAAACCUAGUCGACUUCUUCGGAAAGACACUAAGCGGAUUAGUGGCGAACGGGUGAGUAACGCUUGAGUAACCUGCCUUACACAAGGGGAUAGCCUUUGGAAACGAAGAAUAAUACCCUAUAAUACCAUAAAAGCACAUGCUAGAAUGGUCAAAGUGAUAGCGGUGUAAGAUGGACUUGCGUCUGAUUAGCUAGUUGGUGAGAUAAAAGCUCACCAAGGCAACGAUCAGUAGCCGGCGUGAGAGAGUGUACGGCCACAUUGGGACUGAGACACGACCCAGACUCCUACGGGAGGCAGCAGUGGGGAAUUCUGCACAAUGGGGGAAACCCUGAUGCAGCGACGCCGCGUGAUUUAGAAGGCCUUCGGGUUGUAAAAAUCUUUUGUAUAGGAAGAAAAUGACAGUACUAUACGAAUAAGGUCCGGCUAAUUACGUG
rnacentral:rRNA from 1 species